UGGUGGCUUUGCAGGCCCCAGAGCCCCAAGCAUUUUCUGUUUCUCAUCCAUCCCAAAGCUCCUCUGCUUCUUGGUGGCUGACACUCUACCCCCUGGUACUGGGUGGGGCGGGUGCAUCAGAGUCCACAUCGUGGGUGCCAGUGGUUUUUAUUUUUUAAAUUGAUUUUAUUUUUAGAGCAGUUUUAAUUUCACAGCAAAAUUGAGCAGAAAGGCCUUACAGAGUUUUGCUUGUUGUUUGGAGUGUCGUCCUGUACACCAAAAGGUGGCAGGUUCAACUCCUGGCCAGGGCACAUACCCAGGUUUCAGGCUUGAUCCCCAGUAGGGGGCGUACAGGAGGUAGCCAAUCAAUGAUUAUCUCUCAUCAUUGAUGCUUCUAGCUCUCUGUCCCUCACCCUUCCUCUCUGAAAUCAAUAAAAAAUAUAUA